rnacentral:lncRNA from 1 species
UUUAACCUAAUGAAUGAAGCAGGUAGCUUGCUACCUAUUUUCUCAAAAAAAAAAAAUCUUUUGAGAUCAUUCUCUUUUGCUCAUCCUAUUCAUUCAGUAAUGCAGGAUUAAUGCAGGAUUGCUUAUAGGUUACGUUUGAUUAGCGCUAUUUUUUUUAAAAUUUUUAGUAAUUCAAUAGGAAUGAAAAAAAUAUAACGAUAUUUGGCUAAACGUACUAAAGAAUUUAGUUUAAUGUUGAAUUUACUUAGAAAUAAGAUUUAUUCUAAAAUACUAAUCUUAUUUCUUUGUGUAAGGAUGAAUGUCUUUAUAUUAAUAGAUUGUGAUGAUUAGUUCAUUUUUUUUCUCUCUCCCAACCCGUUGGCUUGUUGGUAUUAUUUUUUUUUUUUACUCUCUAACUCCGUAGCUCUGAUUUUAUCGUUUUCUCUCUAAACUUUUUUUUUUUUUCCUCUCUCUAAGUUAACCACUCUCUCUUCCUCUCUUUUUAAAAUCUUAAUUUUCUCACUCACUCUAAUCUUGACUUUAUUUCUCUCCCUCUAUCUUUAAUGUCAAAUCGCUCUCUUUAAGCUAACCUCUUCCCCCCCUUUUUAUCUCUUCACAUCUGUAAUCUGAAAAAUUCUCUUUCUAAUCUUAGCUCACUCUUCCUUUNAAUAAUAAUAAACAAAAUAGACAACUAAUAUCUUUUUGAGUAGAAAGAGAGAGAAAUUUAAGCUAACCUCUUCCCCCCCUUUUUAUCUCUUCACAUCUGUAAUCUGAAAAAUUCUCUUUCUAAUCUUAGCUCACUCUUCCUUUAACUUAAAUUUCUCUCUCUUUCUACUCAAAAAGAUAUUAGUUGUCUAUUUUGUUUAUUAUUAUUUGAUCAAUAAUAUUUUAACUGAUUUUUUUAAAAAAAAUGUUGAAAUUUUUUAUAGUAUUAUUGUAAAUUAAUUAACGAAACAAAUACAUUGUUUCUAAAUCUUAAAUAAUUUGGGCGUGUGAACUAAAUACUAAAAUGUCACAUUUUUUGUAAUAGAAUGAAUGAGAAUAAGAUCUUUGAAUAUCUUUUUAUUAUUAAUAAUUUUUUAUAGUGUAAACCAAACGUGUUCAUAGUGCAGAAUUAUUUUUAAAAUAUUACAAAGGAAAGGAUGGAUAUCUUGAAUUAAUAAUUACAGAUUACUUUGUAAUUUAUACAAAAUUAUAAAAUUAUUCUUCUUCUCUCUCCAAACCUUUUCUUAUCUCUCCAUUUUACUCAUGGAUACCUCAAUCCUCUUCUCUACCUCUC